rnacentral:lncRNA from 1 species
UGUGGUAAGAGCAAGCAUUUGAUCCCAGCAUACAGGAGGCAGAGGUAUGUGAGUUUCUGUGAGCUCAAGGCCAGCCUGGUCUAGUUUUUAUAGUGAGUACCAAGCAAGCUAGACUACAUAGUGAGAACAUCAUCUCAGAAAAAAAAAAAGAUGUUUAUGAAUCACCUAGCACGCUUUAACUGACUAAUCACUGGUUAUUCCUAGCUAGCAGUGCCAACUGUGGACCACAAAGACAAUUCAGCCUCGUUCUUCCCCUUUGUUCUGCGUAUAACAGUUCGGUGGGGAGAAGAAGCCGGAGAAGGAGCUAGGGACUGAAGAACACCUCUGUCUUCGUUAGGAUUUUGCUGCUGUGAACAGAGACCAUGACCAAGGAACUGAUGCUGGCUAGACUGAAGCACCUGGAAUCCGUAGGCAAAUACUUUGUCUCUGUGUUACAAAUUUUGUUGGUAUGAUAAAUCGCCUUUAAAAAUGACUUAAAUGAA